GUUAUACUCCCUCCGUCCCAAAAUUCUUGUCUUAGAUUUGUCUAAAUACGGAUGUAUCAAGUCACGUUUUAGUAUUAGAUACAUCCGUAUUUAGGCAAAUCUAAGACAAGAAUUUUGGGACGGAGGGAGUAAAAC
rnacentral:pre_miRNA from 1 species